UUAUGAGAUUUUUAUGUAAUAAAUAUACUAAAUUAUGACAAAUGUAUGGUAAAAUUUGUGACAUGUGUAAUAAUAAAAAUGCAUACAAGUGUUAAAUAAAUAUUUGUUAUUAAAUAAAUUUUAAAUAUAGAUAUUUUAUUAUUAUUAUUAUAUUUUAUAUAUAUAUAUAGUAAAUAAAUAAAGAAAAGAGAAAGGAAACAAAGAAAAAGAAACAGAAUAGGCAAACGAAAAGCAGGGGAAGGAAAGAAAGAAAGGAGAAAGAAAAGAAAAAGGGAGAAUUAGGGUUUGAAGGUUUGGAAGUUUAAUAGGAAAUCUCGGCUAAGCAAGGAAAAAUGGCAAAGACAACGAGAGUUAGCUCAAGAAAUACGGUAAAGUAAAGAUAGAACGUUGAAUCAGCAUCCCAGGCCGAUCCUGAAUUCAAUGAGGUAAAGUGUGUUAAUUAUGGGUAAUGGCAUGUACCUAGGAUGUCUUAUGUGUGUGUCAUUUUGAAAUUGUAAAUGUAAGGAUGAAAUAAAUAAAUUUAGGUUGGUUAUGGUAUAAAA